rnacentral:rRNA from 1 species
UACGAAGGGGGCGAGCGUUGUUCGGAAUCACUGGGCGUAAAGCGUGCGUAGGCGGCGAUAAAAGUUAGAAGUGAGAGCCCAGGGCUCAACCUUGGAAUUGCUUUUAAAACUAGAUUGCUCGAAUCUCGGAGAGGAUAGCGGAAUCGUCAGUGUAGCAGUGAAAUGCGUAGAUAUUGACAGGAACACCAGUGGCGUAAGCGGCUAUCUGGACGAGUAUUGACGCUGAGGCACGAAAGCGUGGGGAGCAAACAGG